rnacentral:rRNA from 1 species
AGGAUGAACGCUGGCGGUGUGCCUAACACAUGCAAGUCGAACGAUAGCCUUUCGGGGCUAGAGUGGCGGACGGGUGAGUAACACGUUAAUACCUGCCCUUUAGUGGGGAAUAACUCGGCGAAAGUCGGGCUAAUACCGCAUACGAUCCUUCGGGAUGAAAGCAUUUAUGCGCUAAAGGAGGGGUUUGCGUCUGAUUAGCUAGUUGGUAGGGUAAUGGCCUACCAAGGCAAUGAUCAGUAGCUGGUUCGAGAGGAUGACCAGCCACACUGGGACUGAGAUACGGCCCAGACUCCUACGGGAGGCAGCAGUGAGGAAUCUUCCGCAAUGGACGAAAGUCUGACGGAGCAACACCGCGUGCAGGAUGACGGCCUUCGGGUUGUAAACUGUCUUUUAUUUGGGAAGAUUAUGACGGUACCAAAUGAAUAAGGACCGGACUAACUACGUGCCAGCAGCCGC